rnacentral:rRNA from 1 species
GACGAACGCUGGCGGCGUGCUUAACACAUGCAAGUCGAACGGAAAGGCCCUGCUUUUGUGGGGGGCUCGAGUGGCGAACGGGUGAGUAACACGUGAGUAACCUGCCCUGGACUUUGGGAUAACUUCAGGAAACUGGGGCUAAUACCGGAUAGGAGCUCCUGCUGCAUGGUGGGGGUUGGAAAGGUUCGGCGGUUGGGGAUGGACUCGCGGCUUAUCAGCUUGUUGGUGGGGUAGUGGCUUACCAAGGCUUUGACGGGUAGCCGGCCUGAGAGGGUGACCGGCCACAUUGGGACUGAGAUACGGCCCAGACUCCUACGGGAGGCAGCAGUGGGGAAUAUUGUACAAUGGGCGGAAGCCUGAUGCAGCAACGCCGCGUGCGGGAUGACGGCCUUCGGGUUGUAAACCGCUUUCGCCUGUGACGAAGCGUGAGUGACGGUAAUGGGUAAAGAAGCACCGGCUAACUACGUG